AUACGGAGGGGGCUAGCGUUGUUCGGAAUUACUGGGCGUAAAGCGCGCGUAGGCGGAUUGAUCAGUCAGGGGUGAAAUCCCGAGGCUUAACCUCGGAACUGCCUCUGAUACUGUCAAUCUUGAGUUCGAGAGAGGUGAGUGGAAUUCCUAGUGUAGAGGUGAAAUUCGUAGAUAUUAGGAAGAACACCAGUGGCGAAGGCGGCUCACUGGCUCGAUACUGACGCUGAGGUGCGAAAGCGUGGGGAGCAAACAGGAUGAGAAACCCCAGUAGUCC
rnacentral:rRNA from 1 species